rfam:Symbiodinium microadriaticum strain CCMP2467 Smic.scaffold343, whole genome shotgun sequence.
UAAAGGAACAGUUCUAUUUUGUUGGUUUCUAGAGCUGAGGUAAUGGUCGAUAGGGAUAGUUGGGGGCAUUCGUAUUGAACUGCCAGAGGUGAAAUUCUUGGAUUUGUUACAGACGGACUAUUGCGAAAGCAUUUGCCAAGGAUGUUUUCAUU